GUACACUCCUACGGGAGGCAGCAGUGGGGAAUAUUGGACAAUGGGCGCAAGCCUGAUCCAGCCAUGCCGCGUGAGUGAUGAAGGCCCUAGGGUUGUAAAGCUCUUUCACCGGUGAAGAUAAUGACGGUAACCGGAGAAGAAGCCCCGGCUAACUUCGUGCCAGCAGCCGCGGUAAUACGAAGGGGGCUAGCGUUGUUCGGAUUUACUGGGCGUAAAGCGCACGUAGGCGGACUAUUAAGUCAGGGGUGAAAUCCCGGGGCUCAACCCCGGAACUGCCUUUGAUACUGGUAGUCUUGAGUUCGAGAGAGGUGAGUGGAAUUCCGAGUGUAGAGGUGAAAUUCGUAGAUAUUCGGAGGAACACCAGUGGCGAAGGCGGCUCACUGGCUCGAUACUGACGCUGAGGUGCGAAAGCGUGGGGAGCAAACAGGAUUAGAAACCCGAGUAGUCCCAUG
rnacentral:rRNA from 1 species